rnacentral:rRNA from 1 species
CCUACGGGAGGCAGCAGUGGGGAAUAUUGGGCAAUGGAGGAAACUCUGACCCAGCAACGCCGCGUGAAUGAUGAAGGUCUUCUGAUUGUAAAGUUCUUUUCUAAGGGAAGAAGAAUGUGACGGUACCUUAGUAAUAAACCUCGGCUAACUACGUGCCAGCAGCCGCGGUAAUACGUAGGAGGCGAGCGUUAUCCGGAUUGACUGGGCGUAAAGGGUGCGUAGGUGGUUUGGGAAGUUAGUAGCGUAAUUCCAAGGCUCAACCUUGGAACUACUACUAAAACUGGUGGACUUGAGUGCAGGAGAGGCAAGCGGAAUGCGUGGUGUAGCGGUGGAAUGCGUAGAUAUCACGAGGAACACCAGUGGCGAAGGCAGGUUGCUAGACUGUAACUGACACUGAGGCACGAAAGCGUGGGGAGCAAACAGGAUUAGAUACCCUUGUAGUC